rnacentral:rRNA from 1 species
CGGCGGACGGGUGAGUAACACGUGGAUAACCUACCUAUAAGACUGGGAUAACUACGGGAAACCGGAGCUAAUACCGGAUAAUAUAUUGAACCGCAUGGUUCAAUAGUGAAAGACGGUUUUGCUGUCACUUAUAGAUGGAUCCGCGCCGCACUAGCUAGUUGGUAAGGUAACGGCUUACCAAGGCAACGAUGCGUAGCCGACCUGAGAGGGUGAUCGGCCACACUGGAACUGAGACACGGUCCAG